UGACUACUUUUGGCAUUGAAGGUUUAGUCAUGUAAAAUAAGAAUAUGAUCAAUAGGAGAUAAUUCUUAAAGUCAGUGAUUGUGAAUCAUUGUCAAUUUGUCAAUCGUAUCUUCUUAAUAAGAUGAUCAAGUUACCUUUUGCUGAAAAAGGUGAACGAGACAUUGAUGUUCUGAAUUUAAUACAUACUGAUGUAUUGGGUCUACGAACAUAUUUGCCAUAAAGUUUGGAUUAUUUAAAAUGUUCAAACAAUUUCUUAAUAAGGUAGAGAAAC
rnacentral:lncRNA from 1 species